rnacentral:lncRNA from 1 species
GUCGAACAGCGCUGAGUAGUAGUGUAUGGCUUCCACGAACCUCCCCAGGAAUGGUCCCGCAUGGCUCAGGUCUUGUUCUACUACUGUCACAACUUUCGGCGCUAAUCUACAUAUAUAUGUAUAUAUAUAAACAUGCAUCAAUACAAUUAACGUACGAUUAGUGAUUUGGGUUUAUCAAAAGAAAGAAAUACGUAUAAUAGGGUGGAAAAAUAUUAAACAUUUUCUGCAUAAAUACAAGAGAAGUUUAGUUACGUACCUCUGCAAUAACCAGAGGGUAUUGGUAUCAGAACCCGUGACAUCGUAAAGCGAAUGCUGGAGCCAGUGAACGGCAACAGCCUCCGUCUUGCUGAUGUUGAGUCUGUCAGGGUCUAAGUUGCCUACUUUUUCAGCCACGGGACAGAACUCGAAGGGAAGGCCUAGUUUGUGAGCGAAAUCCGAGAGGCGUUUUCCGGUGGCCUCCAGAGCUUCCAUGGAGGUUCCCAGCCCUGUGAGUCGGACGUAGGGAGGUCCUCCAGGCCUGGAAGCUAGGAUGUGAAAGAGGCCUGGCCAUUGAAGGCCUUGCAUGAUAUCUAAAUCAAUGAUGUGAACCCUCUCCUCCCUCUCG